CUGGCUUCAUCCCACAGCUGCCUAUGGGAGCCCCAGGAGCACCAAAAUAUCAGCUUUCUUCCACCAAGAAUAGCUGACUUGGUGGUGAUACAUCCAGUUGGAAAUGCAGUGCAGAGGUGGUAAGAAUCGAUGUUGGACUGUUUGCCUAACAACCAUCUGAGAAGCUCAUAAAAAUUAUGCAAAACCCAAGGCUCAAACGGAUGAAGUCGUUUGUCCCACAUAACAGAAAGAAAGACAAUGGUACAGCAAGUGCUCACUGAGUGGCAGACGCUGCCGCCUGGGCACCGAGGCCAAGCAGAGGGGCAGCCUCAGCAGAGCAGCGAGGGAGUGGGACUGUCGGGCAGCAAGAGAAAGCCUCCGAGCACCAGACGUAUGGCCACCGGCAGGGAUGUCGGUGUCUGCAGGAGGACAACAAGGCCAAGGCCUCAGUUCAGGACUGUUUUGACAAUCACUGGGGACCAGAGGGGAAGAUCAGCCAGCCCACAGGCGCUGUCAUACUGGUCAUUUCUGGCUGUCAUCUACUGCAAUGAGGAUGCCGCAAUUCCAACUGGCCGGACAUU